GGGCCCGCACAAGCGGUGGAGCAUGUGGUUUAAUUCGAUGAUACGCGAGGAACCUUACCAGGGCUUAAAUGUAGGAUGCAUUAGCUAGAGAUAGCUAUUUCUUCGGACUUCUUACAAGGUGCUGCAUGGUUGUCGUCAGCUCGUGCCGUGAGGUGUCAGGUUAAGUCCUAUAACGAGCGCAACCCCUAUUUUUAGUUGCUAACAGGUUAAGCUGAGGACUCUAGAGAGACUGCCGGUGCAAACCGUGAGGAAGGUGGGGAUGACGUCAAAUCAUCACGGCCCUUACGUCCUGGCUACACACGUGCUACAAUGGUAUGGACAGAGAGCAGCCACCUGGCGACAGGGAGCGAA
rnacentral:rRNA from 1 species